rnacentral:rRNA from 1 species
AGAGUUUGAUCCUGGCUCAGGACGAACGCUGGCGGCGUGCCUAAUACAUGCAAGUCGAGCGGGGUUAUCCUUCGGGGUGACCUAGCGGCGGACGGGUGAGUAACACGUAGGCAACCUGCCUGCAAGACCGGGAUAACAUUCGGAAACGAAUGCUAAUACCGGAUACGCAGUUUUCCUGCAUGGGAGAGCUGGGAAAGACG